GAUGAACGCUAGCGGCAGGCUUAAUACAUGCAAGUCGUGGGGCAGCAGGGUUGUAGCAAUACAAUCGCUGGCGACCGGCAAACGGGUGCGUAACACGUACGCAACCUUCCCGUUACUGUGGAAUAGCCCAGGGAAACUUGGAUUAAUACCACAUAUUAUAUUGGUGAGGCAUCUCAUUGAUAUCAAAGCUUCGGCGGUAACGGAUGGGCGUGCGGUUGAUUAGGUAGUUGGCGGGGUAACGGCCCACCAAGCCUACGAUCAAUAGCUGAUGUGAGAGCAUGAUCAGCCAAACGGGCACUGGGACACGGGCCCGAGUACUACGGGAGGCAGCAGUAAGGAAUAUUGGGCAAUGGACGAAAGUCUGACACAGCCAUGCCGCGUGAAGGAUUAAGGUCCUCUGGAUUGUAAACAUCUUUUCGCUGGGGCGAAAACCAGCUAUUCUUAGCUAAUUGACAGUACCAGAGGAAUAAGCACCGGCUAACUCCGUGCCAGCAGCCGCGGUAACAC
rnacentral:rRNA from 1 species